GAUGAAGAACGUAGUGAAAUGCGAUAAGUAAUGUGAAUUGCAGAAUUCAGUGAAUCAUCGAAUCUUUGAACGCACAUUGCGCCCCCUGGUAUUCCGGGGGGCAUGCCUGUCCGAGCGUCAUUACAACCCUCAAGCUCAGCUUGGUGUUGGGCCCCGCCGCCCCGGCGGGCCCUAAAGUCAGUGGCGGUGCCGUCCGGCUCCGAGCGUAGUAAUUCUUCUCGCUCUGGAGGUCCGGUCGUGUGCUCGCCAGCAACCCCCAAUUUGUUUCAGGUUGACCUCGGAUCAGGUAGGGAUACCCGCUGAACUUAAGCAUAUCAAUAAGCGGAGGA
rnacentral:misc_RNA from 1 species